GAUGAAGAACGCAGCGAAAUGCGAUAAGUAAUGUGAAUUGCAGAAUUCAGUGAAUCAUCGAAUCUUUGAACGCACAUUGCGCCCGCCAGUAUUCUGGCGGGCAUGCCUGUUCGAGCGUCAUUUCAACCAUCAAGCCCCCGGGCUUGUGUUGGGGACCUGCGGCUGCCGCAGGCCCUGAAAAGCAGUGGCGGGCUCGCUGUCACACCGAGCGUAGUAGAUUUUAUCUCGCUCUGGGCGUGCUGCGGGUUCCGGCCGUUAAACCACCCUUUUAACCCAAGGUUGACCUCGGAUCAGGUAGGAAGACCCGCUGAACUUAAGCAUAUCAAUAACGGAGGA
rnacentral:misc_RNA from 1 species